rnacentral:rRNA from 1 species
UACAGAGGGUGCAAGCGUUGUUCGGAAUUAUUGGGCGUAAAGGGCGCGUAGGCGGCGCGGUAAGUCGGGUGUGAAAUCUCGGGGCUUAACUCCGAAACUGCAUUCGAUACUGCCGUGCUUGAGGACUGGAGAGGAGACUGGAAUUUACGGUGUAGCGGUGAAAUGCGUAGAUAUCGUAAGGAAGACCAGUGGCGAAGGCGGGUCUCUGGACAGUUCCUGACGCUGAGGCACGAAGGCCAGGGGAGCAAACGGG